rnacentral:rRNA from 1 species
ACGGAAGGCAGCAGUGGGGAAUAUUGGACAAUGGGGGAAACCCUGCUCCAGCGACGCCGCGUGAGUGAAGAAGUAUUUCGGUAUGUAAAGCUCUAUCAGCAAGGAAGAAAAUGACGGUACUUGACUAAGAAGCUCCGGCUAAAUACGUGCCAGCAGCCGCGGUAAUACGUAUGGAGCAAGCGUUAUCCGGAUUUACUGGGUGUAAAGGGAGCGUAGACGGCAAAGCAAGUCUGAAGUGAAAUCCCGGGGCUCAACCCCGGAACUGCUUUGGAAACUGUUUAGCUAGAGUGCAGGAGAGGUAAGCGGAAUUCCUAGUGUAGCGGUGAAAUGCGUAGAUAUUAGGAGGAACACCAGUGGCGAAGGCGGCUUACUGGACUGUAACUGACGUUGAGGCUCGAAAGCGUGGGGAGCAAACAGGAUUAGAUACCCUGGUA